GACGAACGCUGGCGGCAUGCCUAACACAUGCAAGUCGAACGGAGAAUUCCUUCGGGAAUUCUUAGUGGCGAACGGGUGAGUAACGCGUAGGCAACCUGCCCUUUGGAUGGGGACAACAUUCCGAAAGGAGUGCUAAUCCCCGAUGUUGUCGUUGUUCCGCAUGGUACAUCGACCAAAGAAAUUCGGUAUGGGAUGGGGAUGCGUUCCAUUAGCUUGUUGGCGGGGUAACGGCCCACCAAGGCGACGAUGGAUAGGGGUUCUGAGAGGAAGGUCCCCCACACUGGAACUGAGACACGGCCCAGACUCCUACGGGAGGCAGCAGUGGGGAAUAUUGGGCAAUGGGGGAAACCCUGACCCAGCAACGCCGCGUGAAGGAAGAAGGCCUUCGGGUUGUAAACUUCUUUUACCAGGGACGAAGAACGUGACGGUACCUGGAGAAAAAGCAACGGCUAACUACGUG
rnacentral:rRNA from 1 species